rnacentral:rRNA from 1 species
CCUACGGGUGGCUGCAGUGGGGAAUAUUGCACAAUGGGCGCAAGCCUGAUGCAGCCAUGCCGCGUGUGUGAAGAAGGCCUUCGGGUUGUAAAGCACUUUCAGCGGGGAGGAGGGCGGUGAGGUUAAUAACCUCAUCGAUUGACGUUACCCGCAGAAGAAGCACCGGCUAACUCCGUGCCAGCAGCCGCGGUAAUACGGAGGGUGCAAGCGUUAAUCGGAAUUACUGGGCGUAAAGCGCACGCAGGCGGUCUGUCAAGUCAGAUGUGAAAUCCCCGGGCUCAACCUGGGAACUGCAUUCGAAACUGGCAGGCUAGAGUCUUGUAGAGGGGGGUAGAAUUCCAGGUGUAGCGGUGAAAUGCGUAGAGAUCUGGAGGAAUACCGGUGGCGAAGGCGGCCCCCUGGACAAAGACUGACGCUCAGGUGCGAAAGCGUGGGGAGCAAACAGGAGUAGAUACCCGGGUAGUC